rnacentral:rRNA from 1 species
AAAAACUGAGGUGGUAUGAGAUGGACCCGCGUCUGAUUAGCUAGUUGGAGAGGUAACGGCUCACCAAGGCAACGAUCAGUAGCCGACCUGAGAGGGUGACCGGCCACAUUGGGACUGAGACACGGCCCAAACUCCUACGGGAGGCAGCAGUGGGGAAUAUUGCACAAUGGGGGAAACCCUGAUGCAGCAACGCCGCGUGGGUGAAGAAGUAUUUCGGUAUGUAAAGCCCUAUCAGCAGGGAAGAAGAGAGACGGUACCUGACUAAGAAGCCCCGGCUAACUACGUGCCAGCAGCCGCGGUAAUACGUAGGGGGCAAGCGUUAUCCGGAUUUACUGGGUGUAAAGGGAGCGUAGACGGCUUGAUAAGUCUGAAGUGAAAGGCCAAGGCUUAACCAUGGAACUGCUUUGGAAACUAUGAGGCUAGAGUGCUGGAGAGGUAAGCGGAAUUCCUAGUGUAGCGGUGAAAUGCGUAGAUAUUAGGAGGAACACCAGUGGCGAAGGCGGCUUACUGGACAGAAACUGACGUUGAGGCUCGAAAGCGUGGGGAGCAAACAGGAUUAGAUACCCUGGUAGUCCACGCGGUAAACGAUGAAUGCUAGGUGUUGGUGGGCAAAGCCCAUCG